UGGUAAUUAUAUUGAAGCGCAGAAUUGGUUAAAGAUCACGAGGCGUUUCGAAUAAGAACAAGAGCUCUCUGUUUAUUUAUUAUUUUCGGAUUAGAAAUUCUAAUUAGAAAUUAGAAAAUUCUAUUACUAUUAAAUUCUAUUCUUAUUCUAUUAAAUCCAUUUAAUUAAAUUACCUUACCAUUAAAAUUAUUAAAUUAGAUUUUUUAUUCAUAUUCAAUUUGAAUCUUUAAAUAUUAAAAAAUAUUAAUUUAAUUGGAAUUGUUAAUUGUGUAAUUGUUUGUUUUUGUUGGACCCAUCGGUCAGAUCAUUUCUCUCUCUCUGGGAAAAACCAAUCAAAGAAUUUCAUUAUAUCCUUUCUAAAAUCGUUCUAUUUCGUCUGAUAUUUCGUAAGGAUAAGUAAUACACGGAUAUAGCAAAAUAAAAAAUAUAUAUUUUCUUUUCUGCUUCUAUUAAAACGAAUAAAAACCCCUCGAAUGACUCAAUAUCAAUACUAAAGUAUCCCUUAGUAAUAAAUGCUCACAUGAGUUCGGAUAGAGUAAUAUUCCUUGUUCUAUCUAUGUAAGACAAAAAAAAAAAAAACUCCAUCUAGGAACUUCUAAUUAAGAUAGGAAUACAAUACACAGGUUGCACU
rnacentral:lncRNA from 1 species